rnacentral:lncRNA from 1 species
UGGUUUGCAGAUAAGAUCAUAUCUGAGUAGCUGACGAGAGUUGCGAUGUUAUGUUCGGAGAUUUAUUAUUUAUUUUGUUAUUUGAAAGUAUUUCGAUUUGGUAUUUGAUGAGUCGAUAUUUUAUUGAUUUCACUUAGCUUAUUGUACCGAAUUUAAUCAGGGAAUUGUGUUUAAUUGUUCGGUAUUUUCUCGUUUUUCCUAAUUAUGCUUAAUUUGAUCGGAAAUUCUAAUUUUAAUUAAUUUGAAUUUUCUGAGCUAAUUAUUUGCAUUAUUAUUUUCAGGAAAAUUUUUGAAAACACAAUUUGGGACAUUUGGAGGAGACAAAAUAAAUUCAAGACUCUCAGAUUAGACAUUUUAAAUUUUAGUUAUCUUGUAAUUUAAUUGUUUAAACUUUUUUGACAACUUUUGCACAUUGGGCCAUUAAAAAUAUGAGGGCAUUUUCGCAUUCAUUACAAGGAGCAGCAAGGGAUUGGCUUUAUGGUCUUCCUCCAGGAUCCAUCACUUCUUGGGAAGAUCUUAAGCAUAUGUUCUUGGACGAAUUCUUCCCAGCUCAGUAUGGUUACAACAACAAUCUUGGGUGGAAUGAUCCUAACAUGGGAUGACAUGGUACUCCACAACGUCAAUAUCAAGAACCAUCAUUCCAGACUCCUUGUAUGCCUUCUCCACCUGUCCAUGAACCACAACAACUACAGUUUCAUGAGUCUGCCCAAGCAAUUCCUCAUCUUUCCACUACUUCUGAGCCUACACUGAAGGAGUUAUUGGAGCAGAUGACUAUUCUGAACAUUCAGUUCCGGCGAGAGAACAUGGAGUUUCAGCAGGAGACCAGAGCUUCCAUUCAGAGUUUGACUGAUCAGAUGGGGCAGAUGGCCACUCAGAUCACUGAGGAAUAAUCUUAUGUUUUAGAGGGAUCACCAUUUCAGAUUGUUCAACUUCCGGAUGAUGUUGGUGCCAUCCACAUGGGAGAGGGGGAACAGAGUCAUCAGCUUACUACAACGCCAUCUACUUUCCCACUGAUGGGUGUCGCGGCCCAUACAAAUUUGAUUGCAUAUUAGAAAUGCAGUAUAAUGUUAGGAAGUGUGACUCCUAGGUCGUCUCUCAAGGACCAAAUGUGGUUCGAGAAUUAAGUCAGACACGCAGUGGGGGGUUGUGAAAUUGGUUUUGUUUGUGAAUGCAACUAACGAAAUUAAAAAUAAAAAUUAAACACAUUCGAACAUCAUAAAAAGCGUUAAAGAGAGUAAAAAUGAUAAACCCAAUACUAGACUAAACAAAUAUCUAAACAUAGUUAAAUUAAAUUAAAUACAAAACUAAAUUAAAGAAAUUAAAAACAACUCAACCUACAUUUCAAACUAAUUUAAAAUAAAAGAAAAUAAAAANACAUAAAGUUUAUCUAAAACCUAAACUAAUUUAAAAUAAAAGAAAAUAAAAAAAAACAUAAAGUUUAUCUAAAACCUAAACUAAUUUAAAAUAAAAGAAAAAAAAA